rnacentral:rRNA from 1 species
CACGUAGGGUGCGAGCGUUGUCCGGAAUUAUUGGGCGUAAAGAGCUCGUAGGCGGUUUGUUGCGUCGGCCGUGAAAACCUGCAGCUUAACUGUGGGCCUGCGGUCGAUACGGGCAGACUUGAGUUCGGUAGGGGAGACUGGAAUUCCUGGUGUAGCGGUGAAAUGCGCAGAUAUCAGGAGGAACACCGGUGGCGAAGGCGGGUCUCUGGGCCGAUACUGACGCUGAGGAGCGAAAGCGUGGGGAGCGAACAGG